rfam:Lutispora thermophila DSM 19022 genome assembly, contig: EJ66DRAFT_scaffold00012.12
GAAUCACGGUUGAAACAAGAUUUAUCAUGAGAAGUCAGCAGAAGUCAUAGUACCAAGGUAGUCAUGAAUGCCUUGGGAAGGAC